rnacentral:rRNA from 1 species
GACGAACGCUGGCGGCGUGCCUAAUACAUGCAAGUCGAGCGAGACUCUUCGGAGUCUAGCGGCGGACGGGUGAGUAACACGUGGGCAACCUGCCUGUAAGACUGGGAUAACACCGGGAAACCGGUGCUAAUACCGGAUAAUCCUUUUCCUCUCAUGAGGAAAAGCUGAAAGUCGGUUUCGGCUGACACUUACAGAUGGGCCCGCGGCGCAUUAGCUAGUUGGUGAGGUAACGGCUCACCAAGGCGACGAUGCGUAGCCGACCUGAGAGGGUGAUCGGCCACACUGGGACUGAGACACGGCCCAGACUCCUACGGGAGGCAGCAGUAGGGAAUCUUCCACAAUGGACGAAAGUCUGAUGGAGCAACGCCGCGUGAGCGAUGAAGGCCUUCGGGUCGUAAAGCUCUGUUGUUAGGGAAGAACAAGUACCGGAGUAACUGCCGGUACCUUGACGGUACCUAACCAGAAAGCCACGGCUAACUACGUGCCAGCCGCCGCAGUAAGAC